UGACCCAUGGUGUAAUUGGCAACACAGCAGGUUUUGGUCCUGUCGUUCUAGGUUCGAGUCCUAGUGGGUCAA
rnacentral:tRNA from 1 species